ensembl:lncRNA
AUGGAGGAUCACUAACAGGAGCGUGGGAAGACUCCAGAAUCCACUCUGGCUGGAAUCCGGUGGAUACAGCAGUGUUACAGAACAGUUCUCCACAGUCGCUCUCCACAUGGGUCAGUGGGACCACGCAGCACUCUGCUAAUGUGUGGACUCUGACCAGCAACAUCCAGCAAGACCCAGACAGCGUUUUCUAUCUCCCAGCUGGAGUUUUUUGUUUGUCUGUGACUGGAGAGUCACAGAUUUUUGUUGAGGCUGGAGGAACAGCCUCACACUCGCAGAGGUUAAUACACGCUACUGAUCCCUGAUGGGAGAAUCAUCACCUCUGCCAACAAAGAAGCCUGGUGGAUGUUUGUUUACAGUCUGAUGAUGGGACAUCAUGCUCUGCAUCUUCAAAGUUUGUCUCUUGAUUAUUAUUCAUACACAGUAAUGUGAAGUAUGCUUAUAUCUAGUAUAACGGGACCAACGUGGUGCUCUUCAUUUAUGGAGGCUGUUGAGUCUGAAUGUUGGAUGUUGUGUAUCUCUUGUUCUCUGGGCUUUGUUGUCCUCAGUCUUUUUGCAGGAUCAGAAAACAAAACCAGGAUGACCGUAAAUGUUUCUUCUCCAAUUGGAUGAUGAUAAGACUGUGACACGGGAUGCCACCUUUAGUCUUGUGAUGAAGCAAAGCUCAGGAAAAAGUGUGAUUAAAUGGUACCCACAUGUGUGCUGCUGAGAAGGAUGUACAGGGGCACCUGCAGCCAAAUCCAAGCCUCCUCAGCAACUUCAAGUCUGUCAGCGUGCUGAGGUCACAGAAACAAGAAAAGCAGCUUCAGACUUCAGAGUGUUGUUUACAGUUUUCUGUCAUCAUGAUCUCCCCUGAAGUUUAUCACUAUUAGGCAAGCAAGCAGAGCGGCCGUUUGUGCUCACAGAUGGUGACGGUGUGGAGAGACGGUGGUGUUUCCUCAGAAGAACUAGCAGAGUCACAACGGGCACGAGUCCAUCUCACCACCUUGACUUGCUGACUGAUGCUCGUCUGCACUGCACAGAGGAAAUCAACUGACCGAGGAGUGUUUCUGAGUGAGGGAGAGAGGAGUCAUCAUCCAGGUAAAGUGACGUGGAUCAGUGGAUACACUUGUCUCCGCUUUAAAGGAGACACUCUUAGAGAGAGACGAUCCGAGUCAUCCUUAAAUAUGGGCAGGAUAUCAGUCUUGGACUGUCUAACCUGCCGGAGCAGUACUGAAUGAUCACCACACAUGAGCAUGUUCCUGCAACAUUCAGCAUCUGAUCUGCCAUCUGUGUGCUUCUGCUUUUGUGUCAAAUGUCAAACAGCUGGAGAGGAAACUACACCAGUGUACUGGGAUGUUUCACCAACACGUGCCAGACGCUGUUCCUUCAUGGUGACAUCACCAGAGACAGUCCCGCCCACCUCAGGACCUCUCCAUUGAUCAUGAUGAUUAUAAUAAUGACAGCGAGCGGAACUAAGACUGUAAAAAUCCAUAACCAGAAUGUUUAGAUGCUUUCUAAUUAUUAAUGAAUACUGAGAGUCUCUUUCUGUGUUUUGUCUGGGUUUUUUUUUGUUUUUUUUUUACCUCAUUUGUUACUAACAAAGUUCACCAAACUCACACAGUUUACAUUCUGUAUGCUUCCAUCUUUACCAGCCACACUCUUAACUGCAAUUAAGAAAAUAAUCCUUAGAAAUCUUCGUUUUUCUCUUUUGUAAUUGAUGAUAAUUCAGUGAAUAUACUGCGCUGCUUCCUUUUGUUUCAUCUCACAUUGCUUUAAGUUUUUCAGUGUCCAGUUAUUUUUUACUGCUGUUUGAAUUCUCUGUAUGUUUGACCCUGUAGACUGUUUAAUGGACUGCUUGUCUUCCUGUUUGUAACCGCCGCCUGUUUUUGACUAAAGGUUUGGAUUUCUG